CCAACUCCUAGUUAUCCCCCUUCUCUUUCUUUAAAUUAUAUGUUGUUAAUAAAGCAUCUCGUACUGCACACAAAACAAAGAAAGCUACAUCCUUGGAGAUUUGGUGCUCCAAAAUUUUUUUUCCUCACAUCUCUCUUAUUGCCCCUUUUUGACAACUUUGGAUAUUAGGUAUUGUAAAAGAUUUUGCUCCUACACGCCUGUAUCAUUUUAGUUCCGCCGGUAUCCACAUUUUUCUGUUACAAAGAAUAUUUUAGAUUGGCGUUGAUCAGGGUUAUGCUUAGAAUUGCCAUGUUUAUAUUGGUCAAUUUUAUUUUCAGUGAUGCCGACUGAGAAUGCUAGUGCAGUGGAGAAUCAAGCUGUGGAUGAACUGCAGGCUUCGCGGUUUACUUGGACAAUUGAUAAUUUCUCUCGACUAUCAUUGAAAAAAUUAUAUUCUGAGGUUUUCACUGUUGGUGGUUAUAAAUGGUUGGGCAGUUAAGAGAAGUUUCUAACAAGACGAACACAGCGGAACUGAAGUUAUUUUUGGGAGUGGAGAAUGGGGCGAUUGAAGAUGGAGACAUUAUUUGCUUUCAGAAGAAACUUUCUCCUGAAGUUGAACAAGAAGCCCGUUUUCCAGAUGUUCCUUCAUUUUUGGAAUAUGUGAAAAAUCACCAGGUGAAUCCCAUCUUUUGAUUACAGCUUCAGUUCUCGCUACUGUACCUAUGUUGUGUCAGUUGGUUAUAACCUUUUCCCUUGCUUUAGGCACGGGCAUGUGGGAGGAGGGGGAUACUAGCAUUCAACGCUAUCCUCUCCUUUAAUUUUGUCUCUGAUGCCAGUGUAUGAUACACCAAGAUCCUUUAUUUUCUAUCCAUUGAUGACACAAAUUUUGAUUGCUUAUUUUUGAAAUAAUUGAUUACAAAUUGUC